CCCUUGGCUGCAAGAUUUUCAAAUCUGUCUACAAGAACAAGUAAAUUCACCAAAAACGACAGAUUUCUUCAAGAGUUUGUUGAUAUAGAGGAAAUUGGUUCUGGUGGAUUUGGAAAUGUUUUCAAGGCAAAGAAUACCCUGGAUUGUAGAUUAUGUGCUAUCAAACGCAUCCUUUCAAACAAAACAGAAGAUGAAACAAGAGAAGUUAAAGCAUUGGCAAUACUGGAUCACCCUCACAUUGUUCGAUAUUAUAAUUGUUGGAAUGGAGAAGAUAUUUUCCAGUUUCCUGAUACUGUGAACAGCAGCUCAGAGAAAC
rnacentral:lncRNA from 1 species